CCAACUUUUCCAAAGGGACAGCUAGCUUUUACAACUAAAUGGACGAUGAAAGAAAACAAAAAUGGAAAAUCUCGAAGGCUCCUCAAUACAAUUGGAAUAGAAAGAAUGCAGCAGCCCACCUCACCCACCAAACUCUGAAUUCUUUCUUUCUGCUAAGGAAUGGAGCUAAAAGAGAGGCCACAAACUGCACAAAAGCUGUACCCAGGCUCAUAUUUCUGCUCCUAUCCUGUGGAGUCGGGAAGAAUGGCAGAUCUGAAGGAUGGCCAGACAAGUUUCAUCAGGCUCUUCACAUGUGGACAGCAGCUCUGAUGGUGGAAUGAGAAAGAUCCAUUUGGAAUUAAACAAUAAACCACUUGCAACAUGCACACAAGACCCAAAUCUGCUGUCAUCAUCCUCAUCCAGAAGAAAUGGUUGAGAAGUGGCACAAGAAAGAACAUGUGUGUAACGUUAGGAAAAAUCAGCUUGUCAUGAAUGCCAACAAAGCACCUAAUGACUUGAAGUGAGUUUGAACAGGCAGUGGGAAAACAUUAAAAAAAAAAAAAAAUACUGCAAGUCUAAGAAACUACAAGCUCCUGUUUAGCAUCUUUGCUGGAUCCAAAUAAGAGCAGAUAUUGCAGCAAAAUAUCAAUGAUGAGGUAGAAUUUCUACCUUGUGGGUAUUUAAAAAUAAGACGGAAGAUGUUUUAAUUUGGUUCAGAUGUCAACCUGCCUGGUGUCGUUAGAGCUGGCAGUACCUGUGAAAAAAGGGACCAACACCCUCACUUAACAGAUGAGGAAGUGGAAGGUAAGGGCCUCUACCAAAAUGAUAGGGCGCUUAGGGACAGCGUGGGGACUGGAAGCUACAUGUCAAGACUCCCAAGCCUCUGUCUCAGGCCUUCUUUACUGUUCUUCGAGUUUCCUUCUGGGGCCAUGAUUCUAUAAAACAAGUCACAUUGGCCGGGAGCGGUGGCUCACGCCUGUAAUCCCAGAACUUUGGAAGGCCGAGGCGGGUGGAUUACCUGAGGUCAGGAGUUCGAGAGCAGCCUGGCCAACAUGGUGAAAUCCCCAUCUCUAAUUAAAAUACAAAAAAUUAGCCGGGCGUCGUGGCAGACGCCUGUAAUCCCAGCUACCCGGGAGGCUGAGGCAGGAGAAUUCCUGGAACCCAGGAGGCGGAGGUUGCAGUGAGUCGGGGUCGCACCACUGCACUCCAGCCUGGGCAACCAGAGCGAAACUCUGUUUCCAAAAAGAAAAAAAAAGUCAAGGCAGGUCAUUUUGCACAUUGGUUUUAACCC
rnacentral:lncRNA from 1 species